GCUGGCGCGCCGGCGGCGGCGCAUCGAGGAGCUGGAGCGCCAAGUGGCGCGGCUGAGCCGCGAGAACGCCGGCCUGCUGGAGCGGCACCGGCGGCACCUGGCCGCGUGCGCCCGCCGCCCCGACCCCGGCCCCGAGCCGCUGGGCGCCAUUCCGGAGCUCGGCGGCCACCGAGACAAGUCUGAAGGAGAAAGCGCCCGCAGUGUCAGGAGCUCCCUGGAGACCGGAAGCAGCCUCUCCACUGACAGAUACAG